UACGGGGGGAGCAAGCGUUGCCCGGAUUUAUUGGGCGUAAAGAGCGUGUAGGCGGCUAGGUAGGUCCGUUGUGAAAACUCGAGGCUCAACCUCGAGACGCCGAUGGAAACCAUCUAGCUAGAGUCCGGAAGAGGAGAGUGGAAUUCCUGGUGUAGCGGUGAAAUGCGCAGAUAUCAGGAAGAACACCCGUGGCUAAGGCGGCUCUCUAGUACGGUACUGACGCUGAGACGCGAAAGCGUGGGGAGCGAACAGG
rnacentral:rRNA from 1 species